GAUGAACGCUGGCGGCGUGCCUAAUACAUGCAAGUCGAGCGAACAGACGAGGAGCUUGCUCCUCUGACGUUAGCGGCGGACGGGUGAGUAACACGUGGAUAACCUACCUAUAAGACUGGGAUAACUUCGGGAAACCGGAGCUAAUACCGGAUAAUAUAUUGAACCGCAUGGUUCAAUAGUGAAAGAUGGUUUUGCUGUCACUUAUAGAUGGAUCCGCGCCGCAUUAGCUAGUUGGUAAGGUAACGGCUUACCAAGACAACGAUGCGUAGCCGACCUGAGAGGGUGAUCGGCCACACUGGAACUGAGACACGGUCCAGACUCCUACGGGAGGCAGCAGUAGGGAAUCUUCCGCAAUGGGCGAAAGCCUGACGGAGCAACGCCGCGUGAGUGAUGAAGGUCUUCGGAUCGUAAAACUCUGUUAUUAGGGAAGAACAAAUGUGUAAGUAACUAUGCACGUCUUGACGGUACCUAAUCAGAAAGCCACGGCUAACUACGUG
rnacentral:rRNA from 1 species